CCUCCUCUCCCUCUCCCAUUUGCUUCCUUUCUUCUUCCUCCGGCUAGGACAAGGAAAAACAGAGCCGAGCCGGCCCCAGCCAUCCGCUAGCCAAAUCCUCCCCAUCCCCUCCACCAUAACCAAAUCGCCGCCACCACGACCUCUGCAACCUCCUAGGCUCCACCCUCCACCACUCCUUGUUGAGUUUCGGCCACGGUUCCACUGGAAAUCGUCGGAUUUCCAACCGCUUGUGCGCCACCGCCCACCAUGGCCACCCUCCCGUGGACAGCUCGCCUCGAGUCAGCUACACGCCAAUGACACCCAUGAAUGGGAUCCCAAUGAGCUCUUUGGUCGCCAUAUCACCGUUUUAGCUAAGUUGUUGCGCUCGAUUUCAAGCUUGUCGCCGAGCGUGCGUCGCCGGUCGUCGCGGGUAGAGCUAGGGUUCGGGUUUUGAGGAAAAAAACUAGGGGAGCGGGUGCGCCACAACGUGGGGAGGCUCUUUGGGUAUUCACCAGGGUGCGAGGCGCCGCCCCAGCACCGCCGUGGCUGCGCCGCCAUCGUGCGCCGUGACUGCACGGGCGGUUUGGAGGAGGAAGAAAAGGGGAGGGACUCGGCUGCGAGAAGAAUAAAAGUGUAGGGGGUUUUGUGAAAAUUACUAGGGUUUAAGUGUUAGGUAAGUUUUCUUCCAGGGGCCUAAGCGCUAGAUCUGGGGGCUGCAGUGUAAAAGAAGAAGUAGAUCCGCUAGGAAAACUUGUUUCUGAGGACGUAUCCACAAAGUACUAUUCCUUUUUUGUCUUUUAGUUUUGUUGAAAAGGUUGAAAAUUGUGAAAUCCAUAGUAAAUCAUAUAAAAACGGUAAAAAUACAAAAUAAAUUUUGUUGGGUUUUUGAUGCUCAAAUCUACCUAGGAAAAUACUUGUCCUUGUGAAAUAUGUGUUUCUGUUGCUGAUUAAAAUACAUGUUGUUUAAUCUCCUUAAUUUGGAAUAAAUAUUUUGAGUACUCAUAAAAUCCUGAUAAAUUCACAAUAAUAUAUUACUAUGUUGAAAAGUAUUCUGGAAAGUUUGUAGAACCAAAUUGCUUUUAUAACUUCUGAAAUAAAUUAUUCUUCAUAUCUGCAGUUUUGCAACGUUUGAUUUUUAAUAAAUUUUGUGGUAGUCCCAUCAUAUUGAAAUUUUUACAGUAAUGUGUUUGUGUGAUUCGUAAGCUCAUGUAAAUGAUUUAUGUUCAUAUAACAUAGAAUGCUACCUGAAUAAUUAUUCUUUCUAUAAACUAGUUUAAAUUAUUAAAAAUACUUGAUGCUGAAAUUAUAGGCUAAUAAAUUAUUUUUAUGCUCUUUAUUAGUAGCAUGUUCAUCCCUGAAAAGUUCGCUAACAGGAUCUCUAUAGUUGCUUGUAUAUGUCUUUUGUUUGACCUCUAGCAUGUUAUUGCUAUAGUUUCACUUAUAAGCAUGUUUUACCUAGAUCUUGCUGCUAUCAUGAUAUGCUAAUCACUUGUUUUGGAUCUUGUAUUCAUGCCAUGCUGCAACUAAAAUAUUGAAAUAUUAUUGGCUUAAUUUGAUAAUUGUAUGUCUCACAUGAAAACUCUAGUUAGUUCUUUUAACACCAACCAUAUUUCUUUGUGUAGAUAAAGUUAUACUUUUAUGCUCUUCUUUUUGUCUUUACAUGCUAUAUGAUUGAGUUUCUGCGAAGUUAACUUGUUGUACGAUUGAGAUGCUGCAUAAAACUUGAAGUUGCGUUGUUAUGUUUAUGAUUUAUUCACUCGCUUGCAUUUCAUCAUAGCAUACAUGUAGAUUCCGUAGCUAAGGAUGUGGUGUUCCGGAUCGUGGGUGAACAAGGAGAAAGGAUCAACAGCAACAGCCCGAAGACCCGACCCAAGGUCGGAAGGGCCCAAGGCAUAGAAAGUACUAACACCACAGCAGAAAGGCAAGCCCCGGAGCAUGACCUUUAUUUUCAAAACUAUGCAAUGUUUUAUUUAAGUAUUGUGCAUUUACGUUUUCAGGAGUUUAACGAAACCAUAGAUGCAUGAUCCAUAGGUUUCCAUGAUUAUACUAGCAUGUGUAGGUCGUUAGCUCUCUCAUGCUUAAUUAAGUUUGAUAGAAUUCGGAUGAUUGCUUGUCACUCGCGAGAUAUAGGACCUAUGGAUACUAAUAUUUUGUUUUAUGGAUAAAUGGUUUGAAUGGUAAAUUGGGAGAUCGGGCGGAGAGGAUAUUGGUUAAGGAUAUGACAUAUGUAUUGAAAGAUGUACCUCCGCCUGUAUCAAUUAAGGCCCGUUCGUUGUUGGCCCUGCUGACCGAGUUUGAACAUUACUAAUCACAUGUUGGGAGUAGGAGGUAGUCGAAAUCGGUAAACCUACGUACCUUAGUGCGCGCUAGUAGUUGAGUUGAUACCAUCUCUCUAGCGGGUGCUAGUCAGUAACUCAUGUCUGACCCGUCAGGGUAUCGGUGGGGACUAGUACUUAAGGGUCGUGGAGCAGUUCAAUGUAUUUGGCGCUCUCUAAGAGAACAGUUGCCACGUGCCGCUUGACGGGGGGGGGGGGGCGCAUGUGUCGUGUGAUUAGGUUUUCCUUGCAAGCAUCAAAUCAGAUCGAUUCGCUGCCACUCUCGGAUAAAAGGACCUUGGUCACCGCGUCGGAUCGAAGUGGAAUAGGAUGAUGAUAAUUACUGUGGUUUGUAUAAUUAAUUAUUGUUUUCCCCGCUGAUGUGUUGUAGGCCUUCAAACUUAGAAAAUAGCUGCUCUCACAUUUAAAUUUAGCCAAAAUGUUGAAAGUAAGGAUUCAUUCUUAGUCGCUUUCUAGCAAAACAAACCCCAAAGCCAAAAGCCUGGUAUGCUAGGAGUCGGCUAUGUAUAUACCAUAGUCGGGUAAGUCUUGCUGAGUAUUAGUGUACUCAGAAUUGUUGUUGUGACCCUUUUUCAGGAGGCACCGCUUCUCUUUGAUGUCAUACUGAUGGGCUCGGUGUGAUGUCCUCCGCUUGCCAGCGUUACCGCUUAAAUCUAUGUAUUAUUCUUGUAUUUAAACUCUUUUUGUAAACUUUAGUAUUAUCUUGUGUUGUUUGUAAUAUCUGUGCUCAUCUUCGUAUGAGACUACCGAUGUUUGUUUCGAUUAGCGUGCUAGGGAACAACGUCUUCAUAUGAGACUACCGAUGUUUGUUUCGAUUAGCGUACUAGGGAACCAUUAAGAUAAUGAGCC
rnacentral:lncRNA from 1 species